rnacentral:rRNA from 1 species
GCUGGUGACUAGCGCGACGGGGCCACACCCGUUCCCAUCCCGAACACGGUAGUUAAGCCCGUCAGCGUCGAUGGUACUGCGAAGUUUCCUUCGUGGGAGAGUAGACCGUUGCCAGCC